rnacentral:rRNA from 1 species
AGAGUUUGAUCCUGGCUCAGAAUCAACGCUGGCGGCGUGCCUCAGACAUGCAAGUCGAACGCGAAAGUUCCCUUCGGGGAGCAAGUAGAGUGGCGCACGGGUGAGUAACACGUAGGUAAUCUACCUUCGGAUUGGGAAUAACAACCGGAAACGGUUGCUAAUACCGAAUAAUGCAGCGGCACCUAAUGGUGACAGUUGUUAAAGCGGGGGAUCGCAAGACCUCGCGUCUGAAGAGGAGCCUGCGGCGAAUUAGCUAGUUGGUAAGGUAAUGGCUUACCAAGGCGAUGAUCCGUAGCCGGCCUGAGAGGGCGGUCGGCCACACUGACACUGACAUACGGGUCAGACUCCUACGGGAGGCAGCAGUCGAGAAUUUUGGGCAAUGGGCGAAAGCCUGACCCAGCAACGCCGCGUGAAGGAUGAAAUCCCUCGGGAUGUAAACUUCGCAAGAACGGGAAGAAUAAGUAGGAGCUAACACCUCUUACGAUGACGGUACUGUUUGU